GUGCUAAUACAUGCAAGUCGAACGAACUCUGGUAUUGAUUGGUGCUUGCAUCAUGAUUUACAUUUGAGUGAGUGGCGAACUGGUGAGUAACACGUGGGAAACCUGCCCAGAAGCGGGGGAUAACACCUGGAAACAGAUGCUAAUACCGCAUAACAACUUGGACCGCAUGGUCCGAGCUUGAAAGAUGGCUUCGGCUAUCACUUUUGGAUGGUCCCGCGGCGUAUUAGCUAGAUGGUGGGGUAACGGCUCACCAUGGCAAUGAUACGUAGCCGACCUGAGAGGGUAAUCGGCCACAUUGGGACUGAGACACGGCCCAAACUCCUACGGGAGGCAGCAGUAGGGAAUCUUCCACAAUGGACGAAAGUCUGAUGGAGCAACGCCGCGUGAGUGAAGAAGGGUUUCGGCUCGUAAAACUCUGUUGUUAAAGAAGAACAUAUCUGAGAGUAACUGUUCAGGUAUUGACGGUAUUUAACCAGAAAGCCACGGCUAACUACGUGCCAGCAGCCGCGGUAAUACGUAGGUGGCAAGCGUUGUCCGGAUUUAUUGGGCGUAAAGCGAGCGCAGGCGGUUUUUUAAGUCUGAUGUGAAAGCCUUCGGCUCAACCGAAGAAGUGCAUCGGAAACUGGGAAACUUGAGUGCAGAAGAGGACAGUGGAACUCCAUGUGUAGCGGUGAAAUGCGUAGAUAUAUGGAAGAACACCAGUGGCGAAGGCGGCUGUCUGGUCUGUAACUGACGCUGAGGCUCGAAAGUAUGGGUAGCAAACAGGAUUAGAUACCCUGGUAGUCCAUACCGUAAACGAUGAAUGCUAAGUGUUGGAGGGUUUCCGCCCUUCAGUGCUGCAGCUAACGCAUUAAGCAUUCCGCCUGGGGAGUACGGCCGCAAGGCUGAAACUCAAAGGAAUUGACGGGGGCCCGCACAAGCGGUGGAGCAUGUGGUUUAAUUCGAAGCUACGCGAAGAACCUUACCAGGUCUUGACAUACUAUGCAAAUCUAAGAGAUUAGACGUUCCCUUCGGGGACAUGGAUACAGGUGGUGCAUGGUUGUCGUCAGCUCGUGUCGUGAGAUGUUGGGUUAAGUCCCGCAACGAGCGCAACCCUUAUUAUCAGUUGCCAGCAUUAAGUUGGGCACUCUGGUGAGACUGCCGGUGACAAACCGGAGGAAGGUGGGGAUGACGUCAAAUCAUCAUGCCCCUUAUGACCUGGGCUACACACGUGCUACAAUGGAUGGUACAACGAGUUGCGAACUCGCGAGAGUAAGCUAAUCUCUUAAAGCCAUUCUCAGUUCGGAUUGUAGGCUGCAACUCGCCUACAUGAAGUCGGAAUCGCUAGUAAUCGCGGAUCAGCAUGCCGCGGUGAAUACGUUCCCGGGCCUUGUACACACCGCCCGUCACACCAUGAGAGUUUGUAACACCCAAAGUCGGUGGGGUAACCUUUUAGGAACCAGCCGCCUAAGGUG
rnacentral:rRNA from 2 species